UACGGAGGGUGCAAGCGUUGUUCGGAAUUAUUGGGCGUAAAGCGCGCGCAGGCGGCCUGGGAAGUCCACGGGUGAAAUGCCGGAGCUCAACUCCGCGCAGGCCCAGGAUACUCCCAGGCUAGAGACAUGUAGAGGCGAGCGGAAUUCCGGGUGUAGCGGUGGAAUGCGUAGAGAUCCGGAAGAACACCAGAGGCGAAGGCGGCUCGCUGGGCAUGAUCUGACGCUGAGGCGCGAAAGCGUGGGGAGCGAACAGG
rnacentral:rRNA from 1 species